AAUUGUACAAUUACAUAAAUUCUUCACGUAAAGCUCAAUAUAUCACGCAAUUCAAACAAUUCGAUCAAGUGCUGUCAGGUUGAUCGAAUACGUAAUCAAACGUGUAAAAUUCUGCAGAUCAGAUACAUAUAUCUAUUUCCGUGGACAAUUUUGAACUUCUCAAUUUGUACGAAAUAACGUCCAAAACGCCAUGGUCCGCUAUGCCUUUUCCACCAUGUGGCAAAAACGGACCCCAAUUUCUACCCGUUUAUAGUUAUCAGACCUUUAAUGGAAGCCACUCAUCCAGCGUAAACCCAAACGGAUAAUUCAGCCAAUUUGGGAAAUCCCGCCGCUAUAAAUGUGUACAUAUUGAUGUAGACCUCCAUCACCGAUGUUUCAAUCCGUUAGCGUCCCCUCAUUUUCAUUUCGACCAUCGUCCAAGCAUGGCAUCGCGUGAUUUCAUAAUUCGAAAAUUAUCCCGUUCCACCAGCAACAAGUAAUGUCGUCCCUAAUUUGUACUUUUAACUUUAUAUUGCAUACAUAAUUUAGCCUAAUUUUGAAAGUGGAAUAUGUCGAAAUUUGUGCCAUUGACACAAGAGUUUAACCGAUGUACAGACCCGUUGCUCUGUUCUGGACCGGAUAAAAAGUCCUCUUUUGUGGGCAGGAAGGAUCGUGCACGCGCUCUUCUCUACUUUUGCACGGAGUCAUGUGAAAUUUUAAACUUUGUCCUAGAGAUGCGAAAUUUGGCAUGCACAUGAACCAACAUAUGCUGCAUCAUAAUAUAACAUCAAUUCCCGUUCCGUUCGCUAUAAAUUUUUCAGGAAAAAUCAAAAACCAAGUGAAAUAUGGGUGACUAUUUGAUUGUAAUUAUAUUUCCUGAAAUUUGGGAACCGCAUUUGCGACACAUUUUGCAACAAAAUUUGAACGAAAUCGAAGUUAGAAUAUGAGUAAGGAGUUUAUGUUCAAUAUUACAACGGAUUUCUGAUAUGACCUGUUGCCAAUUCGGACUUUUGGAAUUAAUGCAAGGUUUUGUUACCUAUUCGGAAUUUUGUUAAUUCUGGGGUGACUUGUUGACUAGACCUUCUAUAGAUACAUACAUACAUAUUAGGAUACAGUAUCUACACAGUGUAUUGUGUAGAUAUGCGCAUGUGUCAUGGAUUUCUCAUGGAAUAGAUUGCAUAUUAUGUUGUGAGCAUUCCA